AGAGUUUGAUCCUGGCUCAGGACGAACGCUGGCGGCGUGCCUAAUACAUGCAAGUCGAGCGGGGUUUGAAGGAGCUUGCUCCUGAGAACCUAGCGGCGGACGGGUGAGUAACACGUGGGCAACCUGCCCAUAAGCUUGGGAUAACUGUCGGAAACGGCGGCUAAUACCGAAUAGAUGAUUUGUCCGCAUGGACGAAUCAG
rnacentral:rRNA from 1 species